UGGGCAAGGGAUCCGGUUGGCGGAGAGGGCACCGUAGGAAAUGUAGUAGUGGACUCGCCUCCAGAAGAGAGAUCUGCGGGGGUCUUGUUGUAGGUCGAGAUCGUCGUCGAGGUCGUCUUCAGUGGGGGAUUGGAUGAGGGAAGUGGUGGUGGGCCAUUCGAGGGCGUCGGCCAUGAGUUUGAGGGAGGUGUCGACGGAGAGGUGGGCGGAGGAGGAAGAGAGGAAGAGGAGGAGGAGGGUGAAGAGGGGGAAGAGGAGGGAUUUGGAAGCCAUUGGAGAUUUGGGGAAGGGAGAGAAGGAGGAGAUGGGGGGGUUUAGAGAGAGAGAGAUGAAUGUCACAUGAAGAUGGAGGAGAAGAGAGUGAGAGUGUGAUUGGAGUACAGCUGUGGUUAAUCAAUGCCCACCUCUUCACUCCUUCCCUACGCGUCCCUCCAUUUUUUUUUUAUUUCUUGUUUUUUAGUGUCGGUUUUCAAAUAUACCAAAAGUAUCGUUAAUUUUCAUAAAUAUAAUUCAACUCUCAAAUAUUUACGGCUUUGGUUUUUUAAAAAAUCGUGUUUUUUAUAAAUUUUAGAUUUAUUUUUGAUAUUUUGAAUGAUUUCUAGUUUAUUCCUAUUCUCUUCUAAAUUUUUUUAGUUUCUCUUUUAGAUUUUCUUCCUUAUAUUUUAUUCAUAUUUUCUUUUCCUUUCUUUAUCUUCUUUUUCUUUAUUUCAGCUCAUCUUUUAGAAUAUCAAGAUCGUUUGAAUAUCACUUUUAUAUGAUCUAAACGAUUGUUUACCUAGUCAUUAAAUGAUCAACACGAUUUUUACCAUUAUAAACACGAUCAAUUAGAUCUGAAGUCAUUUUUUCCAUCGUUUAAAAAGAACUACAUGAUCGUGUGAAUAUGAUCUAAACGAUAAUUUAUUAUAGUUAACAUAAUCGUUUAACACGAUUAACACGAUUGUUUAGAUUUGAAGCAUUUUUUCUAUUAUUAAGAAAAACUACAUAAUCGAGUUGAUACUAUAUAUAUGAUCGUGUAUCAUGAUCGUUUAGAAGAAGAAUUACACGAGCGCAUGUAGUCGAUUAAUCACGUGUCGAUUGGACAUUUUUUGUAUUUUCCAUUAUGUGAGUCUAUCAGCUUUUUCUAUUUUCAAAGUUGUUUUAUACCGUAUAAAUAUUUUGCUAGUUUAUUGUAUUUUUAAAAGAAAAACCCUAAAAAUAAAAUAACACAAAAAUUUCAAUUUUAUUCAAUAUUUUAUAUAUCAUUUUAAUAUCUAACAGUGAGGAUUAUAAUAUUGAUGUCAAUAUCGAUAUCAUAUUUCAAUGUCGAGAUUUAUAAAAUUUAUUUAGACUCUUAAUGAAGUUGUUUUUACUCCAAACCUAAACUAUUAGUAUUUUCAUUAGACUAGAUAGAUAUGAUAUAUUGUGUUUUACGAGUUUGGUCCUUAAAUUUUGGACUUUAUUCUAUUUUAGUUCAACUUUUCGAGUGAAACAAACCUAAAUUAAAAAAGCUAAUUGUUCUCUUUUCUCCAAAAUUGCAUUUCCUCUCGACCAUCGACCCUCGACCCUCUAUUUAUUUAGUUUUUUAAAUUGAAAUCUUAAAUAGAAUCACAAAAUAUCCGAGAUAUUAAAAUUAAAUUUAUAUGUAGAUGAAUUGUAUCUAGUAUAUAAUGACAAUGAGCUAAAACACAGUACUAGAGUUCGAAUAAUUUUUUGAGUUAUUUGAUAAAACAUAAAUUUAACAUCUAGCCUUUAAUUAAAAAUUAAAACUCUAGAUUAUUAAGGGUGAUUACCUUAUUUAGUAGUCUCAACCAAAUAUGGAGCUAAAAGUUUAGAGAUUAAAAUAAAUUUAAAUCUAUAAGAAAAUGUUAGAUAUAUUCACGAAUAUACCAACAUAUAUCUAUGGAUAUUUUAAUCCUCACUAAUAUCAACAUUUCAACUAGUUUUGUUAGUUUUACUUUUUGGUAGGAAAUGGUAAAAAUCAUAAAAGUCAGUCGGUGUUCCCUCGAUUUUCGCUCCAACCUUCGACACCCUGUUGUGACCAGUGACAUAUCCAAAAAAAUUAUAUAGAAGGCAUCAGACACUAUAUAACCCCCAAUAUAAUAAGCAAACUAAAAAAUGUUUAAAAUAAUAUAUUGACGUUUCACUGAUGCUCCAAUAUCAUUCAUUACAUUUCUAGCACUAAAGAAAAGACUAGCAAUUUCCACAAAAUGUGAAUUUAAAAAUUUCAUCAAAAAAGGAAAAAAAAAAACCUUUUUCAUGGAAUAUUGUUGAGAAGGUGAAAAUUUAGAUCACCGACAUUGUUGCAUUUUUUUUCUAAAUAUUUGUUAGAUAACAAGUGAGGGUUAUAAAAUAAGUUAGAGUUUUAUCUUUGAUAAGUUUUUUUUUUUUUCUCUUUUUUAAAAAUUAUUUUCUUUUAGGAAAUCAAAUUAUCUUCCUUUCAGUAAAUCAUUGAAAUUUAGGAAGAAACUUGAUAUUUGGAGAAAGAGGUUUUAUCGUGGAGACACAUGCCUCCUGUCCAUUCUCCUCUCACACCAGCCGUUUGCUCGACAUUUUGUGACAUGAUCGCUCAACUAGGUUUUUAAUCCAAAAACAAAACAAAUAAUUAGUAACUCGGUUUAUUGUGUUGAAUCGCCCAAACUGAUGAAAUAGUUUGGUUCGGUUUUGUUGUGGGUUCGUGGGGUUUGAUUUUCCAAUAUAAUAAACCAAGUAAAUCCGUUUCGAAACCCAUCUUAGUUUAAAAUCAACUCGAACCAAUGCUCAUCCCUAUAAUUUGUAUAAUAUUCCUUUUAAAGAUCAUUUCUCCAAACUUAAAAUGUGUUUGAAUUGACUUGGUAAAAAGAAUAUUUAUUAACACGGGAAGAAACUAUCCAAAGGGACCUAAUUCUUUCCUCCGAAUUUAUUCGGAUUGAAGUGAGAGAAUUAAAGGAAUGGAAUCAUUUAUUGCUAAAUAAUGCAUGUCCCUUAGGUGGCAUUUUUUGUUCAUUAUUUAAAGGCCGAAUUUACGAUUUUACCUACCCUCCAAAGCCAAUGCCCAUAAUUAUUAUUUCUUUCUUUAUGUAUUUUUUAAAUCAAAAUUAAAAAAAAAGGACAAUAAAUACCAGAUUUCAUAACUCAAUUAAAUAAUUAAACCAUAAUUUCUUUUUGGAAUAAGUUUUUAUUUUGUGGAAUUAAAUAAUUAUAUUACAUAACUAGAUUUCAUAUUGUUUUAUAUACAUCUUAACUUGAUCAUGGACUAAAUUCUAAAUUUGCUUCUUUCAUAUAUAUAUAUAUACACCUACUUUCUGUUACAUAUUAUUAAAUGAUUGGGUUGAAAUGUGUUGAUUUGGUGUUUCCAUCGAAUCUAUCAUUUAUAAACUUUCUAAUCUUUAAAGGUAUUGUUUUUUAAUUUAUGAAUUAGAGUAAUCUCUAAUAAAAGUUUUCUUUCUCUACUCAUGGACGCAGUAGUUAAAAUUGUGUGUUGAGUCUUGGUAGUUUUUCGUUUUUCGUUAUUCGACAAUAUAGAAAUAUUAGUUUGUAUUUAUAUUGGUACACUUAAUUAAGAAAAAUUGUUUUAAAUGGUAAAACUAUUGAAAAUAUUUUCAAAUGUAGCAAAAUGUCACUAAAAGAUAUUAUUGUCUAUCACACAUAAACAUUGACAUUUUAAUAUAUUUGUAAACAACACAAAAACUAAUAUAAAAAUUCAAUAAAUAGUCACCCUCAUUUAAAAUUGGCCAACCCAAUAUGCCACGUCAUUUUUCAACGGUCAAGUUAACUCGAUGACUUAUUUACAAGUACUUUCCAAGCUCAUAGACUAAUUAAAGUGUUUGUUAAAACUUAAUUAAAAGACCAAUUAAGCACCAAGUUCCUUAAUGAUGAUUGUGUUAUUAGGGUGCUCACCUAGUGGAGAUACACAGGUACACUUAGCUUAUUGACCCCAUCUCAUAUCUUAUUCUAAAAUUGAACACUAACUUCAAACCCGAACAACUCGUAUCUUCGAUUUUUCUACCAACAUCCAACACACACUUCAUAUUUAUUUAUUGUAAAUAUGUGUCUAAAACUAUGCAAUUUUUUUUUUUUAGUUUUAUAAAAAAAAUAACAAAACUGCAAAAUAUUUAUACGAUAUAAUACAAUUUCGAAAACGGAAAAAACCAACAGACCCACAAUAAAAAAUACAAAAAAAUUCCUCAUUAUUAACUGGAGCCAAUGCGCCUAAUAUAUUUAAUAAAUGAUCGUUUAGAUUUGACUAUUCUUUGUUACAUGAUGUUUUUUCAAUAUUUUUUUGUAUAUGAUCAUUUAGAUGACUACCCAAAUCUGAACGGUUUUUUUAAAGAUUCAUUAUAAAUGUUUUUGGCUAUUUUUUCCAAAUGAUCUUGAUAUUUUUGGUACAAGAUCAUUUUGAUUUGACUAUCCAAUAUUUCAAUAAUUUUUUUCACGAUCUUGAACCAAAUAACUGUUUGAAAAAAAAACAAAAAUAAAAGUUGCAGAACAAAGAACAUCAAAGGAAAAGAAACCCUGAAAUAUUGUAAAAAAUAGCCGGCUUCAUAAGCUUUUUGAUUUUGACACGAACUGUAAAUAUUUUGGUGUUUUGUUAUAUUUAUGAAAAUUAACUUUUUUGUUUGUUUGUUUAAAGUCCAAAUUUAAAUUUUAUUCUAGAGAUUAAUAGUAUGUUUUUUAUUACAUUUUUAAAUUUUAAAUUUAGAAAAUAAGUUAUUUUGAAAAAAAUUAGAGCGUUAACACUCAAAAUAUAUUUAUUUUAAAUGUAUUUUAUAGUUUUUUUUUUAUAAAAAAGUUUAAACAAAAAUAAGUUUGGAAACAUUUGUUCUUAUGUGCUUUAUUUGUGGUUGUAUUAGUGAAGAUUUGGGAGAUCGAAAAAGUGGGCAACGUUCGAGUUUAAAGGUUUGGAAAAAAUAAACAUAUUAUCCAUCCCAUCCCAAAAUCAAAUAAGUGAAAGAAUAUUCCAUUUCUAUCUCAAACUAAUUUGACAAUCUCAUAUUCAUACAAAUUUCAAUACUUAUCCAAAUUUCAAUACUUAUCCUGGAAAAAAGAUUUAUAAGAAAUACAUUUUUUUUAAAAAGAUAUUUUGGAUCGGUAGGUGCACUCGGACAUCUUCACUAGAUGAACAUUUUUUUAGCAUUCUCAUCAUCCAUGUUUCAUUAAUAUAUAUAUAGCAAGACAAUAUCGAAGAAGUAAGAAAAAAGGGUUAGAGACAAGCCCAAAGCAAGAACAAAGAAAUUAGAAAGCAUUAAGAUUAGUGGUGAUAAAGCUAGAGCUAUAAUUAGAAAAUAGAGGGGAUCUGCUAGUCCAAAAUUUGGAUAGAGCACAUAUGUCUUUCCAAAGGUUUAUAGUUGAGUUGUUCUUCUCUUUGAAGAUUCGAUUAUUACUUUCCAACCAUAUUUUUCAGAGCACAGUCGAAAUAGUGUUGAACUUGAUAAUACCUUUCUUGUUCUUUUGGUUAAUGAUGCAGAGGUCCAAGUAAAGAGAAGAGAUACUAUUAUGUUGUAUCUUUCAUCCAAGCAGAUUUUUCGAUCUUCAUCCACAAAUAUUUGAUAAAACUGUAGUUGGUAAAUAUAUGGUCGAUGUCUUCAGAACUUUGAUGACAUAACGAGCACCAAUUAGGAUUGAGGUAAAGGGAAGGAAUCUUCCUUUAAACAACAUCAUUUGUAUUUAAGCAAUAGUGGAUAAGAGACUAUAUGAAAAAUCUACAUCUCUUAGGUAUCUUUGCUUUCCAUAGUUGUUUAAAGACCUCGCAAAGUUGUCUGUAUUCUGAUUGGCGCUUUGGUAUAUGUUAUUUUUUGCCUUUUUUUAUUGAUGCAAUGGUGAAAACACCAUUUGAUCAGUUUAGCUUCCAUAUGGGGAUAUCUUUGCCUCUGCUCACGUUUGGGCUAGGAAGAGAAUUUUUUUAUAUCAUCCCACGGCUAAUGAGGGGAUGUUCCAAGAGUCAUUAAUAGAGCUAUUUUGUACAGUGGAUAGUACAAACAAUCUGGGAACUCGAAGACAUAAAGGGCCAUUUGUAUUCCAAUUUAUAAGGAACGUUUUUUGAUAUAAAAAAAUGAUUUAAAGUUACAUACAAAUAUAACAAAAUUUUACUUUACUAUCAUAUAAACAUGUAUAACUUAAAUAUCAAUAGAUAUAUAUUUGAGUCUAUAUAUAAUCUUAAUGAGUUAGUAGAAACUAAUUUUUUUUUUUAUAUUUAUAAAUUUUUUCAUUUAAAACAUUUAAAUUUAUGGUUUUUCAAAACAAAAAUAAAUAAAUUAAUGAAGAAAAGAGAGGAUAUAUUGCCAGAAAUAAAUAAUUAUGUUUUAUUUUUUAAUAUUGAAAAAUAAUGCUCUUAGAAUUCCUAAAGAAAUGAUGAUUAUGCAAUUAGAGAAUAAAGCAUAUACGUUUCCACCUUUUCUUGGCGUGCUGGAAAGAUGAAAACAACAUAUUAAACCCUACACAAACUUCAAGGUGUGAAGUACAUGAAUCCAAGGAUUUCUUAAUUAGUAUCCAAACUUCAUCUUCUUGCAGUUAAGAAUGGAUCAAUAUAUAUAACUAGAAUUCGAUGCUGAUAAUGAAUGCAUACUUAGCUCCAUUUGCAAUCGGAAAAAGUAUAUAUAAAAUGACUUGGAUUAAUGUGAGUUUGAUUUUUCUGAUUCUCUGGGUUUUCUGGACACCUAGACUGGUAUCCAUGGCAAUGGAUUACUCUCUAGGAUCUAGUUGUUCCAGUGACAUACAAGACAGGUACCAGAAAUGGAUGGAUAAAUACGGUCGACAAUACAAGAGCAGAGAAGAAUGGGAGCGGAGAUUCACAAUUUAUCAAGCGAAUGUUCAAUACAUUGACAAUUUCAAUUCUAUGAAUCAUUCACAUACUCUGGCUGAAAAUAACUUUGCAGAUCUCACAAAUGAGGAGUUUAAGGCAACUUACUUAGGGUAUAAAACCGUUUCGAUUCCUGAUACAUGCUUCAGAUAUGGAAAUAUGGUUAAUCUGCCUACUAAUGUUGAUUGGAGACAGGAAGGUGCAGUUACUCCGAUAAAGAAUCAAGGCCAAUGUGGUAUGAACUUGUAAUACUCUCAUUCAUUCAAAUUAUCAGAAAUACGUUGAACAUGUUCUUUUUACGUCUGAUUAUAAGUUUUUUUUUUCCUAUUCCUAACAAGUACCCUAAACCCUACCUUCUAUCCAUUGUAAGUCAUUUCAUCGUAUUUGGAAAAACUUACCAAUCUUGAAUUUUCGACACAGGGAGCUGUUGGGCAUUCUCUGCAGUAGCAGCAGUCGAAGGCAUCAACAAAAUAAAAGCAGGAAAAUUGAUAUCUCUUUCAGAACAAGAGCUUGUAGACUGCGAUGUGACCUCGGGGAACCAGGGAUGUAAUGGUGGUUACAUGUACAAAGCAUUUGAGUUCAUCAAGAGAACUGGACUAACUACAGAAAUAGAAUAUCCAUACCAAGGAGCAGAAUCUGCAUGCAACGAACAAAAAGAGAAAUACCAAUUUGUGUCAAUAAGUGGAUAUGAAAAAGUACCGGUCAACGACGAGAAAAGCUUAAAAGCAGCAGUUGCUAACCAGCCAGUCUCUGUAGCAAUUGAUGCAGAGGGAAACAAUUUUCAGUUCUAUUCUGGUGGAAUCUUCUCAGGCAAUUGUGGAAACCAACUGAAUCAUGGAGUGGCAAUAGUUGGGUAUGGGGAAACUAGCAAUCAAGCUUAUUGGCUUGUCAAGAAUUCAUGGGGCACUGAUUGGGGUGAAUCAGGUUACAUAAGAAUGAAGCGUGAUUCAACUGACAGGCAAGGUACUUGUGGCAUAGCUAUGAUGGCUAGCUACCCCACCAAAGACUGAGCAUACUUCCUGAUGUUAAUUGAACUUGUCUACCUUCAGAGGUGAAAAAAUUAAAUUUGCCAUGCAAAUUUUUAUGUCUACUAAAGAUGCAAUAAGAAUUAGUAAAAGGUUAUUAUGUAUAAGCAAUAAAAGUCAAAAGAAAAUGAAGGAUUCAAGUACAAUAAAAUUUAAACAUAUUCAAGGAGUAUUUAUCGUGAAAAAUUCUUCUCUAAAUCUUCUCCACAUGCCAUUUGGAUUCUAUAUAUAUAUAUAUUUAAGAAUAAGAUAUAAAUAAUUUAUGGUAUCUAUAAGACCCCAGCUCUACCAAUCUGUGUCUUACAGCAGAAGCAAGUUCCACUUCCCCAAUGACAGUAAGCCCCUCAACAUCCUUUUGCCUAACCUUGAUAAUAUGGUGUAUAAACUCUCGGUCUCUCAUCCCCAUUCGUCACCUUCCCUGCUAAAAUAUACCCACGACACUCUAGACAACCUUCAACAAGAAGCUCAUAGCUCUUAAAUCCAACAUCGUGACUAUCACUCUAACAGCUCAAUGAUCUCAACUGCUCUUCUUACCUCUCGGUUUGCUCGUAACGCAGCCACAACGUUAAUAAUUGUUCUUUAUCCUAGCGUCAAAAUAGGCUGACGCGGACUAAUAAAAGUCUUUCGAUUAGUAAAACUACCAUAUUUUUGUCAAUAGUUUGCCAACCACUUAUUUCUAUCGUUUCUUUCCCUCCUACCCUAUUUUUAUUUUUGUUGUUAAUUUUCAAAAACACUAUAUAUAUAUUUAAAUAGUUCACAAAAAUGGGUUAAAAGGCAAUUUCAAUGUUGAAGACCCAAAUAUUAGCUAGGGCACACUAUUUAAAAAUAAGAAAAUUUGAGCUUUCUGCCUCUUUUCUUUCUUUUGCUUUUUUAGUUUUUCUCUUUCUUUUAGCCCAUUUAAUAAAGGCUAUAAUGAAUGACUAUUAAAAGGUUGUUUAAUUUUGUAGUGUAAUAGCCAUGAGACGGAGCCAAAGCUGCUAAAAACAUAGAUAGAUUUCAUGAGAUAAGGCCAAAGCUGCUAAAGCAUAGAUAAAUUUGUUCUUUAUCUCUAGAGAUGUGACAAAAAAGAACAACAUUCACAAAAUUGUUCAUAAAAAUAAUAUUCUCAACUACGAUCACAUUUUAAAUUGAAUAUUAAAUUCCACGAAAUCUAAUAAAUUGAAGUCCAAACUUUAAAAUCUUCCUGCAAAGCUCAACUAAACAUGAAUUGUUGAAUUAAAAAAAAAAGAAAAAGAAAAGACGUAUUAAAGGAAAUUUAUCAUCAUUGAUCUCAACAAAUAGACUAAUUUGACAAAGUCAUUUAUCUCUACAAAUUUGAUCAUCCUCAUAUAUAUAUUUUUUUCUACCCUCACAUUGGUUGUUUUCAAAAUUAAAACUCAAAUUCUCAACUUGAUUUUAUCUUUUUGUAUUAGUUACCUCGAAUCAUGUAAAACUCAUAUUACUUUUUCUUUAAACCACUUGUUUUUACCAUUUACAAGAACUUAUUUCAACAGGUUGUAUUUACUCGAGAAAUUAGUAAAUACAAAACUAAAAAUUGAGACACAUACGCCAUAUAUAUUAAAAUUCAUCAUCAAGAACAACCUAUUAAGACUGUAACAACAAAAGUUUAGAGAUUAAACUUGUAACUCAAUCUACUAUAAAUUAUUUAUUUAAUUAUGAAUCACUCACAACAACAUUAAUCAUUAAUGAAUCCCACAUUAGAACACAACACCUUUUAAUGCUUGAACUUAUUUUGAUGAUGAGAGACAAGAACACAAAAACGCAUAAGUGAUCAUCAUAGGGUUAGGCAGUACUGAGUCUUAAUUUUCUUUCUUGAUGAAGCAAUUUUGCAAACUUGGUGAGAGCAUCCCCAUUGCUACCUUCUCCAUCAACACUCUCAAAUUUUCCUGUUUCUAAAUUAACCCUUGAAACUGGUUUCUUUAGUAGAUCCUCUCCAAUCUUCACAAGCUGUAGUAAAUUUUCUGGAGUUGCUAUAUCCACUAAUGCAGCAUUCCCAGUUAAUGAGUCCUCCUGUGUUCGAUCAUAUAUACAUAAAUCUUUCAUCAAUAUUCUUCCCUUUUCAAAUCAAAAUCAUUAUGAAUUGGCUUUGAGACAAAAGUUGGAAAGUAGUUAAGUUAAUUACCUGAAUUCGAAGAUAGUUUUGUUGAACAUUUGAGGAUUGAAAAAGAGUGGAAACAUGGUAAUCAACCAUAUCAGAACUAGCAUCAGAAAAAAAGUCGAUAAUUGGGGUUGAACCACUUUGAAAAAUCCAACUAACAGCUCCCCAUUUUGAUGCUUGUGUUGCAUUAAAUUUCUCUUCAUGUUUACCCAAUCCAGUCCCUAGAGAUAGAACAAGCAUCCUUCUUGUAUCAUUUGCUUUUACUCUUGAGUUUUGAUGAUGAAUUGCUAUCUCCCUAUUUACGUGUGUUAUGGCUGCCAUUGUCUGUCAAAUUUAAUUAAUUAGCUAUAUCAUUUUUAAUUAAUUUAGAAAUUAAAUAAUAAUCAUCAUUCUUGUUAUGCUAAAAUAGAGAUACACUCACUGCAUCUUUUACCCAUUUAUAACACUAUCAUCAAUAUAAAAAAUUUGGAAUAAAAGAAAACAAAUAUCCCACUAAAAUAUAUAACAAGAGGAGUUUAGAAAGAAAAAAAAUAUUUUUAUGGAAAAUAUGUACUAUUUUUUUUUUAUUAGUUUUUUAAGAGGAAAAUUGUCUGAAUAGUAAAAUAUUAAAAUUAUUUAUAGAAUAUAGAAAAAGAAAAGAAAGAAAACUUUAAUGCAUUAAUAAGAAUUUAAAUUUUGUUAUAUUAGGUAGAUAAUUACAAUAUUUGGCUAUUUUUUAAAACGUCUCUUUGUUUGUUUUCUUACAAAUUUUUUAUGAAGAAUUCUCAUCUUUUAUCCUAACUAUAAACACUUGAAUUUUUAAACAAUUUUUAAGAAUAAUGACAAUUUUUUUAAAAAAAAUAACUGCAUUGAUAAUUAAAUUUAUAGCAACCUUCCUCGUAAAUUAAUUGCAAAUAUAUAGUAAUAUAAUCUAUCACGAUUAGAUUUCGAGAACUAAAUCUAAAUUUUGACAUAUUUUUUAUUUAUUUUAUAUUCACAUAUAGUCUUGAAAAAUUAACAUCCUUAUUAUGAUAACAGAGACCAUCUAAUUAGAGUAAACAUGUUUACUAUAGGUAUCACACAUGGGACUAUAGGAUAGUGGCCUAAAUUGGAAGAAAACAAAUCAAUUUGUCAUAUUAAAACAAAAUAAGGAAAAUUAGCAAAAGACAACAAAAACUUAAUUUGACAUUUUGUAGAAUAGAGAAAAACAAAAUAUUAUUUUUUUAAUAAAAAAAAUGUAUAUAAUAUAAUGAUGAAUGAGCAACUUGAUUGGUUGGGAAUUGAAGCCUCCUAGGCCCUUAUUCUUUUGUUAUUAUUACAAUUAUUAAUUGAAGCCAAAAUUCCAAUCUCCAUAAUAUAUAUCCCAUCUAAACCUCAAUUUGGAAGCAUUGUAUACUCAUAAUUGUCCAUACAUAUUUGUUAACUAAGCAACUUUAAAUUACAAAUAUAAGCUUCCUACUUUAUACUCAAAUUUAAUUAUACCCUUCCAAGUUUUUGAAACCUUCCACCUUAGUUAUGGAUUUAUCAUUUCCUUACGUUAUUUGUGUGGUAAUUCUACUUUAUUUAUUCCUCUCUAGCUAAUAAAAUUGUUUGUAUCGACUCUUUAUUAUUUUACGUUUUUUCGUCUAAUUUUUAAAAUAAAAUGAACUCACUGGAUUAUUAACUGCAACGGCACCAUCAAUGAGGUCGAAAGUGCGAGUGGCAUUUGUAACGUCGUCCUUAGUUUCAAAGAAAUGGGGUGGCAAGAACGUGGGCGCUGCCGAGGUCCCCAAGCACACAUCCGCCAGCCUUGGAUUCUUCAAUGCACUUAUUUUUGCCUGCAAAAUUCACACCCCUACUUAUUUUUUUAAAUUUAUUUUUUACAAAAAAAGUUAAUUUAGAAUUU
rnacentral:lncRNA from 1 species